rnacentral:rRNA from 1 species
AGACCCGAAACCCGGUGAUCUAGCCAUGGGCAGGUUGAAGGUUGGGUAACACUAACUGGAGGACCGAACCGACUAAUGUUGAAAAAUUAGCGGAUGACUUGUGGCUGGGGGUGAAAGGCCAAUCAAACCGGGAGAUAGCUGGUUCUCCCCGAAAGCUAUUUAGGUAGCGCCUCGUGAAUUCAUCUCCGGGGGUAGAGCACUGUUUCGGCAAGGGGGUCAUCCCGACUUACCAACCCGAUGCAAACUGCGAAUACCGGAGAAUGUUAUCACGGGAGACACACGGCGGGUGCUAACGUCCGUCGUGAAGAGGGAAACAACCCAGACCGCCAGCUAAGGUCCCAAAGUCAUGGUUAAGUGGGAAACGAUGUGGGAAGGCCCAGACAGCCAGGAUGUUGGCUUAGAAGCAGCCAUCAUUUAAAGAAAGCGUAAUAGCUCACUGGUCGAGUCGGCCUGCGCGGAAGAUGUAACGGGGCUAAACCAUGCACCGAAGCUGCGGCAGCGACACUGUGUGUUGUUGGGUAGGGGAGCGUUCUGUAAGCCUGUGAAGGUGUACUGUGAGGUAUGCUGGAGGUAUCAGAAGUGCGAAUGCUGACAUAAGUAACGAUAAAGCGGGUGAAAAGCCCGCUCGCCGGAAGACCAAGGGUUCCUGUCCAACGUUAAUCGGGGCAGGGUGAGUCGACCCCUAAGGCGAGGCCGAAAGGCGUAGUCGAUGGGAAACAGGUUAAUAUUCCUGUACUUGGUGUUACUGCGAAGGGGGGACGGAGAAGGCUAUGUUGGCCGGGCGACGGUUGUCCCGGUUUAAGCGUGUAGGCUGGUUUUCCAGGCAAAUCCGGAAAAUCAAGGCUGAGGCGUGAUGACGAGGCACUACGGUGCUGAAGCAACAAAUGCCCUGCUUCCAGGAAAAGCCUCUAAGCAUCAGGUAACAUCAAAUCGUACCCCAAACCGACACAGGUGGUCAGGUAGAGAAUACCAAGGCGCUUGAGAGAACUCGGGUGAAGGAACUAGGCAAAAUGGUGCCGUAACUUCGGGAGAAGGCACGCUGAUAUGUAGGUGAAGUCCCUCGCGGAUGGAGCUGAAAUCAGUCGAAGAUACCAGCUGGCUGCAACUGUUUAUUAAAAACACAGCACUGUGCAAACACGAAAGUGGACGUAUACGGUGUGACGCCUGCCCGGUGCCGGAAGGUUAAUUGAUGGGGUCAGCGCAAGCGAAGCUCUUGAUCGAAGCCCCGGUAAACGGCGGCCGUAACUAUAACGGUCCUAAGGUAGCGAAAUUCCUUGUCGGGUAAGUUCCGACCUGCACGAAUGGCGUAAUGAUGGCCAGGCUGUCUCCACCCGAGACUCAGUGAAAUUGAACUCGCUGUGAAGAUGCAGUGUACCCGCGGCAAGACGGAAAGACCCCGUGAACCUUUACUAUAGCUUGACACUGAACAUUGAGCCUUGAUGUGUAGGAUAGGUGGGAGGCUUUGAAGUGUGGACGCCAGUCUGCAUGGAGCCGACCUUGAAAUACCACCCUUUAAUGUUUGAUGUUCUAACGUGGACCCGUGAUCCGGGUUGCGGACAGUGUCUGGUGGGUAGUUUGACUGGGGCGGUCUCCUCCUAAAGAGUAACGGAGGAGCACGAAGGUUGGCUAAUCCUGGUCGGACAUCAGGAGGUUAGUGCAAUGGCAUAAGCCAGCUUGACUGCGAGCGUGACGGCGCGAGCAGGUGCGAAAGCAGGUCAUAGUGAUCCGGUGGUUCUGAAUGGAAGGGCCAUCGCUCAACGGAUAAAAGGUACUCCGGGGAUAACAGGCUGAUACCGCCCAAGAGUUCAUAUCGACGGCGGUGUUUGGCACCUCGAUGUCGGCUCAUCACAUCCUGGGGCUGAAGUAGGUCCCAAGGGUAUGGCUGUUCGCCAUUUAAAGUGGUACGCGAGCUGGGUUUAGAACGUCGUGAGACAGUUCGGUCCCUAUCUGCCGUGGGCGCUGGAGAACUGAGGGGGGCUGCUCCUAGUACGAGAGGACCGGAGUGGACGCAUCACUGGUGUUCGGGUUGUCAUGCCAAUGGCACUGCCCGGUAGCUAAAUGCGGAAGAGAUAAGUGCUGAAAGCAUCUAAGCACGAAACUUGCCCCGAGAUGAGUUCUCCCUGACCCUUUAAGGGUCCUGAAGGAACGUUGAAGACGACGACGUUGAUAGGCCGGGUGUGUAAGCGCAGCGAUGCGUUGAGCUAACCGGUACUAAUGAACCGUGAGGCUUAACCUUACAACGCCGAAGGUGUUU